GGACACUUGGCAGAGCCGGUCUAUCGCACCUGGGUGCUAACCAGGAGGUCGCGAAAGCGGCCCGCAGGUUCGAAUCCUGCAGUGUCCGCCA
rnacentral:tRNA from 1 species